AGAGUUUGAUCCUGGCUCAGGAUGAACGCUAGCUACAGGCUUAACACAUGCAAGUCGAGGGGCAGCAUGGACCCAGUUUUGCUGGGUUUGAUGGCGACCGGCGCACGGGUGAGUAACGCGUAUCCAACCUGCCCUUUACUCCGGGAUAGUCUCCUGAAAGGGAGUUUAAUACCGGAUGUGUUUGUCUUUCCGCAUGGGAGCGACAAAUAAAGAUUGAUUGGUAAAGGAUGGGGAUGCGUCCCAUUAGCUUGUUGGCGGGGUAACGGCCCACCAAGGCGACGAUGGGUAGGGGUUCUGAGAGGAAGGUCCCCCACAUUGGAACUGAGACACGGUCCAAACUCCUACGGGAGGCAGCAGUGAGGAAUAUUGGUCAAUGGGCGGGAGCCUGAACCAGCCAAGUAGCGUGAAGGAUGACGGCCCUACGGGUUGUAAACUUCUUUUAUAAGGGAAUAAAGUUCGCCACGUGUGGUGUUUUGUAUGUACCUUAUGAAUAAGCAUCGGCUAAUUCCGUGCCAGCAGCCGCGGUAAUACGGAAGAUGCGAGCGUUAUCCGGAUUUAUUGGGUUUAAAGGGAGCGUAGGCGGGCUUUUAAGUCAGCGGUCAAAUGUCGUGGCUCAACCAUGUCAAGCCGUUGAAACUGCAAGCCUUGAGUCUGCACAGGGCACAUGGAAUUCGUGGUGUAGCGGUGAAAUGCUUAGAUAUCACGAAGAACUCCGAUCGCGAAGGCAUUGUGCCGGGGCAGCACUGACGCUGAGGCUCGAAAGUGCGGGUAUCAAACAGGAUUAGAUACCCUGGUAGUCCGCACGGUAAACGAUGAAUGCUCGCUAUGGGCGAUACAAUGUCCGUGGCCAAGCGAAAGCGUUAAGCAUUCCACCUGGGGAGUACGCCGGCAACGGUGAAACUCAAAGGAAUUGACGGGGGCCCGCACAAGCGGAGGAACAUGUGGUUUAAUUCGAUGAUACGCGAGGAACCUUACCCGGGCUUGAAUUGCAGACGAAUUACGGGGAAACCCGUAAGCCGCAAGGCGUCUGUGAAGGUGCUGCAUGGUUGUCGUCAGCUCGUGCCGUGAGGUGUCGGCUUAAGUGCCAUAACGAGCGCAACCCUUGCCGAUAGUUACUAACAGGUCAUGCUGAGGACUCUGUCGAGACUGCCAUCGUAAGAUGUGAGGAAGGUGGGGAUGACGUCAAAUCAGCACGGCCCUUACGUCCGGGGCUACACACGUGUUACAAUGGGGGGUACAGA
rnacentral:rRNA from 1 species